rnacentral:rRNA from 1 species
CCAAUAGCGUAUAUUAAAGUUGUUGCAGUUAAAAAGCUCGUAGUUGAACCUCGGGGUCUACCCAUUGGUCAGGCUUAAUUGUCUGCACUGGUGAGAUGGAUCUCUACCUUCUGAGGAACUUUCAUGCCAUUUAUUUGGUGUGAUGGGAAAUCAGGACUGUUACUUUGAAAAAAUUAGAGUGUUUAAAGCAGACUAUCGUCUGAAUACAUUAGCAUGGAAUAAUGAAAUAGGACGGACUGAUUCUAUUUCGUUGGUUUCUAGGAUCACCGUAAUGAUUAAUAGGGAUAGUUGGGGGCAUUAGUAUUCAAUUGUCAGAGGUGAAAUUCUUGGAUUUAUUGAAGACUAACUACUGCGAAAGCAUUUGCCAAGGAUGUUUUCAUUAAUCAAGAACGAAAGUUAGGGGAUCGAAGACGAUCAGAUACCGUCGUAGUCUUAACCAUAAACUAUGCCGACUAGGGAUCGGAUGAUGUUAAUUUUAUAAUGACUCAUUCGGCGCCUUACG